UGUUGGCUUAGGGAUUGAAGCGACAUCCUUUUUUUGCUUGCCGAGCUAAGCGAAGGUAAACUGAAAAAGAUAUAGCGAAUAAGCCCGACCCCGA
rnacentral:sRNA from 1 species